AACGAACGCUGGCGGCAUGCCUAACACAUGCAAGUCGAACGAGACCUUCGGGUCUUGUGGCGCACGGGUGCGUAACGCGUGGGAACCUGCCCUUAGGUUCGGUAUCACUCCCCGAAAGGGGUGCUCAUACCGGAUAAUGUCUUCGCACCAAAGAUUUAUCGCCUUUGGAUGGGCCCGCGUUGGAUUAGCUAGUUGGUAGGGUAAAAGCCUACCAUGGCGACGAUGCAUAGCUGGUCUGUGAGGAUGCCCAUCCACACUGGGACUGAGACACGGCCCAGACUCCUACGGAGGGCAGCAGUGGGGAAUAUUGGACGAGGGGCGAAAGCGUGAUCCAGCAAUGCGGCGUGAGUGAUGAAGGCCUUAGGGUUGUAAAGCUCUUUGACCCGGGAUGAUAAUGACAGUACUGGGAGAAUAAGCUCCGGCUAACUCCGUG
rnacentral:rRNA from 1 species